rnacentral:rRNA from 1 species
CUGCGUGGAAGGGCCAUCGCUCAACGGAUAAAAGCUCCCCUGGGGAUAACAGGCUUAUCUCCCCGAAGAGGCCACAUCGACGGGGAGGUUUGGCACCUCGAUGUCGGCUCAUCACAUCCUGGGGCUGUAGGAGGUCCCAAGGGUUGGGCUGUUCGCCCAUUAAAGGGGUACGCGAGCUGGGUUCAGAACGUCGUGAGACAGUUCGGUCCCUAUCCGUCGCAGGCGUAGGAAAUUUGAGAAGACCUGUCCUUAGUACGAGAGGACCGGGAUGGACGUACCUCUGGUGUACCAGUUGUCCUGCCAAGGGCAUGGCUGGGUAGCUAUGUACGGAAUGGAUAAGCGCUGAAAGCAUCUAAGCGCGAAGCCAACUUCAAGAUAAGAUUUCCCACCGCAAGGGUAAGACCCCAGAAAGACUAUCUGGUUGAUAGGUCGAAGGUGUAAGUGCAGCAAUGUA